rnacentral:rRNA from 1 species
UACAGAGGGGGCAAGCGUUGUUCGGAAUUACUGGGCGUAAAGGGCGCGUAGGCGGCCUGUUAAGUCGAACGUGAAAUCCCUGGGCUCAACCCAGGAACUGCGUCCGACUACUGGCAGGCUUGAAUUCGGGAGAGGGAUGCGGAAUCCAGGUGUAGCGGUGAAAUGCGUAGAUAUCUGGAGGAACACCGGUGGCGAAGGCGGCAUCCGUGGACCGAGUAUGACGCUGAGGCGCGAAAGCCAGGGAGCAACGGGAUUAAGAAACC